rnacentral:lncRNA from 1 species
GGGAUUUAUUAUAAAUAAGGCUGUCCAGGAGCACACGAGGCAGCAGAGAAGGGACAUUCUGUGUCUGGUUUGCAGAACACAGUGCAUCAUGCCCAACAUAAUCAGCACCAGCUAAUCAGAUUAUUUGAUGAGCCAGAGGGAGCAAAAUCUAUCUUUGAGUUGACGUAAUCCACCAACAGACUGCUUAAGGAUUCUGGAUAUUUUCAUUCUGUGUCUCAGAAGCCUUUCUCUUACCUAUUUAUCGAGACUUAUCCUUUUUAUGAGCAAAUCUAGGAUUAAACACAGAUGGCUCAAAUUGAAACCAGAACACAAACCAGGUAAGAGUGAGAUUCCAACAGAGCAGUGCCAAUUACCACACUACUGGCUCAGCAGGAUGGUGAAAGAAUAUCAGGGAUACUUUAGAGCCAUUAGUGGAGGCCUUGGAUGGUAACUGAGGAAGAUAAGGAAUACACAAGUCUGGAAUUAAAAUGGGGAAAAGACAUUUUUUUCUGGAACAUCAUGAAAUGUUGGAUGAGAUUUUUAUUUUAAUUCAGGUCUAGCCUGAUCCAUAAAUUCUUAUCACAUUAAUAUGAUUUAAUAUAUUUUAAAUGUGUGUUCUGUAAAAAUCUGUACCUUCUCUUAGUGUUCUUCAUCACUAAUAGGCAGUUUCAACAACUGCAUAAAAUGUAGCUUUCCAUCUUAUUUCUAAUUUAAUCUUGCAGAAAGCUGUCUAGCAGGGUAUCUCACAAUGCUGUGCCUUAUUUAUAGAUACAAUGAGGGGAACAGAAAAAUAAAUCAUUUUCAAAACAGAUUACUUUUCUGGAAGGACAGUUCUUUGAUUGCUUUUAUUCCUGACUUUAAAUGAAAAUAAUUUAGUAAUUAUAGAUUGAGCAACUAUUGUUUACUUGUAUCAGGCCUCACAAAAGCUGCUGUGCCUGCUUUUCUUGUAUGUUGUGUUAAAAAAAUGGGCAGAAACAGAAUAAAAUAAUUGCAAGAGAAUAUUGCCUGGCAUCCCUGUCUCCCUCCCACUGCACAAAGAGAUGCUGGAGCAAAGCUGAGAUAUUUAUUGAGCAGCAGGAGGUCAUUAGCUUGUUGUCAGUCCUCUCUCCAUUGACAGCUUGAAGUGGCUGUCUGGUAGGUAAGCUGCAUCAUAAACAGGCUUUUUGUAGCACACAUUGCUGCUUUCAUAUGAAAAGUAUGUUUGCUGUCUCCCAAAUAAUCCUUGCUACCCUGAGAAAUUACAGAUUCCAUGUUUCAGGAACAUGUUGCUUCAGUUUUCCAACCACAUGUCUCAGCUGCAUCUGAGUUUCUCUUGCCUAAGCCCUUUGAAAAAAGUUUAAGCUUCAAAAGCUUCCACUUGUAUGAGAGAGCAGCUCUGGAGCUGCCCAUGUCCAGGCACAGCUGUAAAUUUAAAGGGGUCUAACACCAAAGGACAAUUUAGAGCAUCUCUGGGGUUGUGUACAGCUGAAAUUGCUUAAAUAUUACAUUAUUACAUAUGGAUCUUCCCUAGAGGUCAGAGUGAGGAGUGAGGAUCAGAGAAUUUGGGAGGAUAUUACACUGAGGAGUAAACCUUUGCUGCCCUGAGCCAGCAGGUCCGUGUGCAAUCAUUCUCAGUCCAUCCCAUGACUGCCCAACACCACAGCAGCAGAGCCACUGACUUUGCUUUGUCCUGUGCAAUUCAGCUUAAUCAAUAAAACCAAUUUUACUAAACUAUGCAAAAUGUUGAGCUGCUGCUGGAAUAAUUGGGAACUGGGGGAGCUGCUCAGUCUCAGGAAGGUCACAUUCCUUCACUGGAUGUGGAAUCUUUGAAAUCCUUGGCCAGGAAGGAUUCAUGUCCUUUUCUUCCUGGAUGUGGCUUUCACACAGCCCAGUUUCCCCGAGACUCCCCAUGGUUUCUGCCUCUGCCAAGUCAACUUUUACAGUCAAGGGGCCUGGGCAAACACCCAAGGCUCAGGGAUAAAGUCCACAUUUGGCCCAUUGCCCACAAGCCACAUUUCACUGGUACAGAAAAUUACAUUGCAUUGGUUACAUUGAAUAUUGAUUAUGCAGCUGAUCACAGAAUCGCACAUUGGUUUGGGUUGGAAGGGACUUUAAAGAUCAUUUGUUCCAGCCCCCUGCCAUGGGCAGGGACACCUUCCACUGGACCAGGUUGCUCCAAGCCCCAUCCAGCCUGAUGAGAGUCCAGGCUACCCGUGUCAGAAGCAGAGGCUGUUCAGAUGAAUGGGGCUGAUCACCUGCAUCAAAUUAGGGAGCUCAUUUCUCAAAUGGAGCCCAAAUCUGUUUGGAUUAGAUCUUUCUGACCGUUCUGCCGAAGAAACAGAAGAUCUGCCAUUUCAUUU